UUUAACCACGAGUUCGGGUAAAACUUACCUAAACCUAACCCUAAAAGAAACUUGCAAUGAUUCGCGUUUCUCUUCUCCAUUCUUUUUUUUUUUCUCUUUCUUUAUUUUCCACCGUCCAUCUUCUGUUCUCGGCACCUCGUCCUUCCACUCGCGCUAUGCAGCCACCGCUACUAGUUCAGGAUUCCGACACCACGGUGACAAGUGGAGGGAAGAAUGCAAGUUGCGCGAGCUAUGACCACUAGCACAUAUAACAUGUACAUUCAUGAAGGUGUUUCAACGAAGUUGAAUCCUGCCGGGCGCUGGAUUGAUAUCACAUUGGCGAAAAUGGCUUUUCAAUCACUCUUUUCCAAAUACGAAACCGUGCCCUCUUUCUUUUGCACCCUUCUCCAAGACAAGCUCAACCCCACAAGUCUCAACACCAUUAUUGCCAAAACUAGUAAAUGAGAUAUCUGGUCCACUAAGUCACCACCGGUACCCUCACCAUUAGAACUUAAACUCAAUCCACUUUCCCGCCAAAUACCCACUAAAUUGGUGGAAUAGGUCUUGAAGAGGUGCAAGAAUCUUAGCUUCUCAGCCCAAAGAUUCUUUCUUUGGGCUAAAUCAAUUCCAGGUUUUCGGAUCAGUGAUAUGAGGUUCCACAUUUUGGUGGAAAUCUUGGGAAGUUGCAAACAGUUUGCCAUUCUAUGGGAUUUUCUCAUAGAAGUGAGAGACUCUAGUUCAUAUGACAUCAACAGUGAGAUUUUCUGGCUCAUUUUCAAGGCAGGUGGUGCUAUUCGGUCUUUCCAUAGAAUGUAUGAGUUUGGAGUUUUGCCAACUGUUCAUGAUUUUGAUAAGCUUUUACUCUUUAUGCAAAAGGAAGCAUCUCAAGCAAGCUGAACAAUUGUUUGACGAAGUGGAUGGAUCUAGGUACCACGUGACCUACUCCAUCGUUGAGCUUGACAACGACACGAUUGGCUUCCUUAUCAGAAUCGCACCUGUUAUGCAAUUCAAGAAUUGGAAACUAUUAUAAUUGGUGAUAGAACAGCUAUUGAGGCAUGAUGAGACAGAGAUAGAAAGUUGCUGAGGAAGCGGAUACAUGUUUCUCAUAAUACUUUCUCAUUAUUCUCUUUGGACAUCCUAGUAAACCAUUUCAUUAUUCUGCUCCGUCAUCUGGAUGCUACAAAACUGUACCUGAUAUUUGUAUGAAAUAGACAUGCAGAGGAAAUGAUGAAAGAUGAAGGUGUACGUAGCUGAUCAAAUGGAAGGGGAACAAACAUCCAUUAAGAGUUAUGAUUGAAGAAAAGUAUUACUCUAUUGUGAGAUAUGCCUCAUCCUCCACUCCGUCCUCCAAGGAGGUUGGAAAUGACGAAAUGCAGUGGUUCCAAAUCAUGCUUGGUGCAAAAUCUAAAACUACUUUCAGAGAUUAUUUUGUUAUAAAUUUAUAUAAUUUCAUCUUUCAAUUCUUUCCUAGUUGUGUACGUACGAGGUACAAGUAUUCACAUUAAUAAGCUCAUAAAAAUUAAAUUAAAAGAGAAA